AAAAAAAAAAAAAAAAGAUAGCAUUCAAAUUUACACACCAUAAAACCUCAUUUACAAUAGCCAUAAACAACAAACAGAAAACCAAACAAACCUUGGAAUAUUUUUAACAAAAAUAUGCAAGACCUAUAUGAAGGAAACUUUAAAAUACAUCUGGGGACAAAUGAAAAGACUUACCACAUUACUGGAUAGGAUGACAUCGUGAGGUAGUCAAGAUGAUCCUAAAGUUCCACAAUAGAAAAAAAAAAUCAAAGAACAGCCUGAAAAACUUUGGAAAAGAAGAGCAAUGAGGGUGGACUAGCACUACUAGGACCUAAAACAUUCCAAAUGAAUAAAAAUUGUAAUGUUAACAUUUAAAACUUAAAACUAUUCAUGAGUGUGGGGGGAAGGUAGGGUGCAACCUGAGGCAAAAAAAAAAAAAAAAAAAAAAAACCAAACAAAAAACCAGAUUCCUUCAUGAUCCUGCAGUGGCAAAGACCUUUCUUUUUUUUUUUUUUU
rnacentral:lncRNA from 10 species